UACAGGGGGUGCAAACGUUGCUCGGAAUUACUGGGCGUAAAGGGCGCGUAGGCGGGAUGGCAAGUCGGUCGUGAAAUCCCUCGGCUCAACCGAGGAACGUCGAUCGAUACUGCUGUUCUUGAGGAUUGCAGAGGAGACUGGAAUUCCCGGUGUAGCGGUGAAAUGUGUAGAGAUCGGGAGGAACACCGGUGGCGAAGGCGGGUCUCUGGGCAAUUCCUGACGCUGAGGCGCGAAAGCGUGGGGAGCAAACAGG
rnacentral:rRNA from 1 species